UCAUAUAAUGGGUGUGAUACAAGACUUGUGAUUUUUUUCGUGUUGAUGCAAUAAUUCAUUUUCGCUUCCAUUUCUUUGAGUUUCAAGUGAAAAAUAAACUGCACAAGUAAAGGUCAGUUUCUGAGCUUCUGGUUGUUCAGCAAAUUAGUUUUUCAAUUUUGUUUUUAGUUUUUUCUUGUAUUUGGAUUAUUUCUUAUUUGUUGGAAGGUGAAGCUUGUCAGAUAUGUAAUGAAAUGUAUGAGUAAAAAAGAGUAAUACAUAACUUGUGCCUGCUGCAGUGCGAGUCCAAUUACCAUGUUUACAACUGAUGUUUGUAGGUUUUGCCAUGUACAGACUGGAUUUUGUGAAAACUUAAUCCUGCUAACUUUGAUAUAGCACCUGACUGUUGUAACAUUAAUGUGACUUGGAGCAAUAUUUAAUUGUAAUGCAAAUAAGGUAAUUGUAAAAUGUGAGGUGAUUGUAAUGUAACAUGGUUUUGUUGUAAUGCAGUAUAUGACAUGCACAUCGGAGAUUAAUUACGUGGUGCAACUAAUAUGCUACUUGAUCACUGUAGCAAAAAGUGGAGUUGUGAGGUGCAGAAUUUUAUUUGAACAAGGAUCAGGCUGGUUCUUAAUUUACUUGUGGCUGCUGAAAUAAAUGUAUUAAAUUGUAUAUGUUGUAUUGUGAGGAAUGGGUUUUCUGCAAGAAAAAGACUGAAUUUGUUUGUUUUUCAAUAGGAUUUUUGUCAACAGAAUAAUAUAAAUCUAGUCAAGGAAAUACAAUAUCUAGUAAUCAGAAGUGUCGGUUUUCAGUACUUACUGUUUUUGUUGAGUGUAAAGAUAACCAGUGCACCUCGAAUGUUAAAGUUCAGAUAACCAGGAGGUGUUUUGUCAUAUAAUGAGGGCUCUGUAAAUGCAUUAUAAGUUCAACAUAUUUCAAUCAUGGAUGAAAAUGUGUAAACCAAAGCAACAUCUGUAAUAAGUUGUGGCAAGUCACUAGGCUUGAUAUUGUGUCUUUGACAUGAAUUUUUUCAAGAAAAACAUUAGCUGGUGACUUACAUGUACCAUUAUUUUCUAUCAUGUAUAAAAGAUAACACCUUAUUUGAUGUAUUGAUACAUGUAGUUGUGAAUGAUAGUGCUAUGUUGUCAAUAUCUUUUCUCUUUUUUUUUACAUUUUGUAAAUUUUUAUUGUACGCAUAUUUAUAAAAUGUUUGUCAUUUUUUUCAUUCCUUAACCAUUUUUGUGCCAAUAUCUCACUGUGCAUUAAAGCAAAUAAAUCUGGCCUUCAUUU
rnacentral:misc_RNA from 1 species